rnacentral:rRNA from 1 species
AUUGAACGCUGGCGGCAGGCCUAACACAUGCAAGUCGAGCGGAGCGGCGGACGGGCGGGUAAUUCCUAGGAAUCUGCCUGGUAGCUGGGGAUAACGUCCGGCAACGGGCGCUAAUACCGCAUACUUUCCGAUGAGCCUAGGUGGGAUUAGCUAGUUGGUGGGGUAAAGGCCUACCAAGGCGAAGAUCCGUCACUGGUCUGAGAGGAUGAUCAGGCACACUGGAACUGAGACACGGUCCAGACUCCUACGGGAGGCAGCAGUGGGGAAUAUUGGACAAUGGGCGAAAGCCUGAUCCAGCCAUGCCGCGUGUGUGAAGAAGGUCUUCGGAUUGUAAAGCACUUUCAGCGGGGAGGCGUUACCCGCAGAAGAAGCACCGGCUAACUCCGUGCCAGCAGCCGCGGUAGUUC